UACGUAGGGUGCAAGCGUUGUCCGGAAUUAUUGGGCGUAAAGAGCUCGUAGGCGGUGUGUCGCGUCGGUCGUGAAAACUUGGGGCUUAACCCUGAGCUUGCGGUCGAUACGGGCAUCACUGGAGUUCGGCAGGGGAGACUGGAAUUCCUGGUGUAGCGGUGGAAUGCGCAGAUAUCAGGAGGAACACCGGUGGCGAAGGCGGGUCUCUGGGCAGUAACUGACGCUGAGGAGCGAAAGCGUGGGGAGCGAACAGG
rnacentral:rRNA from 1 species